AGAUUGAACGCUGGCGGCAUGCCUUACACAUGCAAGUCGAACGGCAGCACGGACUUCGGUCUGGUGGCGAGUGGCGAACGGGUGAGUAAUAUAUCGGAACGUACCCUGGAGUGGGGGAUAACGCAGCGAAAGUUGCGCUAAUACCGCAUACGAUCUACGGAUGAAAGUGGGGGCUCGCAAGACCUCAUGCUCGUGGAGCGGCCGAUAUCUGAUUAGCUAGUUGGUAGGGUAAAAGCCUACCAAGGCAUCGAUCAGUAGCUGGUCUGAGGGGACGACCAGCCACACUGGGACUGAGACACGGCCCAGACUCCUACGGGAGGCAGCAGUGGGGAAUUUUGGGCAAGUGGGGGCAACCCUGAUCCAGCAAUGCCGCGUGAGUGAAGAAGGCCUUGGUUGAAGUCUCGUUUUGUCGAGGAAGAAACGGACGAAGGCUAAUAUCCUUUGACUAAUGACGGUACCUAGAAG
rnacentral:rRNA from 1 species